UCCGUAGGUGAACCUGCGGAAGGAUCAUUAAUGAAUUUAGAUUGAACCAUAGGCGAAAGCCAGUGGUUCUUCUUUCAUAUCCAUAACACCUGUGCACUGUUGGAUGCUUGCAUCCACUUUUAAACUAAACAUUAUUGUAACAAAUGUAGUCUUAUUAUAACAUAAUAAAACUUUCAACAACGGAUCUCUUGGCUCUCGCAUCGAUGAAGAACGCAGCGAAAUGCGAUAAGUAAUGUGAAUUGCAGAAUUCAGUGAAUCAUCGAAUCUUUGAACGCACCUUGCGCUCCUUGGUAUUCCGAGGAGCAUGCCUGUUUGAGUGUCAUGAAACCCUCAAACCCAAGUUUUGGAUUUCGAUCCAUGCUUGAGUUUGGAUUUGGAUGUUUGCCGGUGAUGAACCGACUCAUCUUAAAAGUAUUAGCUUGGAUCUGUCUAUAUGACUGGUUUGACUUGGCAUAAUAAGUAUUUUGCUGAGGACAUCUUCGGAUGGCCAGGACCUAGACUACUGUCUGCUAACUAAACCAUCACUUUAAGUGCAUCUUUGGAUGUUACUCAUUGUGUAACUUUGACAUCUGGCCUCAAAUCAAGUAGGACUACCCGCUGAACUUAAGCAUAUCAAUAAGCGGAGGA
rnacentral:ncRNA from 2 species